CCCUUAGAUGUCCUGGGCUGCACGCGCGCUACACUGAUGUGUCCAGUAAGCACCUAACCUCUUCCGAAAGGAACGGGUAACCUUUGCAAAGCACAUCGUGAUGGGGAUAGAUUAUUGCAAUUAUUAGUCUUGAACGAGGAAUUCCUAGUAAGCACAAGUCAUCAGCUUGUGUUGAUUACGUCCCUGCCCUUUGUACACACCGCCCGUCGCUCCUACCGAUUGAAUGUUCCGGUGAGCUCUUCGGACUGCGCGGUCGGCAGUUUCUGCGUUCCGUGCGGAAAGUUGCGCAAACCUUAACAUUUAGAGGAAGGAGAAGUCGUAACA
rnacentral:rRNA from 1 species